UGGGGAAUAUUGCACAAUGGGCGCAAGCCUGAUGCAGCAACGCCGCGUGAGGGACGACGGCCUUCGGGUUGUAAACCUCUUUUGGCAGCGAAGAAGCGAAAGUGACGGUACCUGCAGAAAAAGCACCGGCUAACUACGUGCCAGCAGCCGCGGUGAUACGUAGGGUGCAAGCGUUGUCCGGAAUUAUUGGGCGUAAAGAGCUCGUAGGCGGUUUGUCGCGUCUGCUGUGAAAACCCGAGGCUCAACCUCGGGCCUGCAGUGGGUACGGGCAAACUAGAGUGCGGUAGGGGAGAUUGGAAUUCCUGGUGUAGCGGUGGAAUGCGCAGAUAUCAGGAGGAACACCGAUGGCGAAGGCAGAUCUCUGGGCCGUAACUGACGCUGAGGAGUGAAAGCAUGGGGAGCGAACA
rnacentral:rRNA from 1 species